GUCUAUGGCCAUGCCGCCCUGAACAAGCCGGAUCCUGUCUGAUCUCUGAAGCUAAGCAGGGUCGGGCCUGUUUAGUAGUACUUGGAUGGGAGACCACUUAGGAAGACCAGGUGCUGUAGGCA
rnacentral:rRNA from 1 species